rnacentral:misc_RNA from 1 species
AACGGUCUAUACCUGCGGUACCUGCGGAGGGAUCAUUACCGAGUGCGGGCCCUCGCGGCCCAACCUCCCACCCUUGUCUCUAUACACCUGUUGCUUUGGCGGGCCCACCGGGGCCACCUGGUCGCCGGGGGACGUCCGUCCCCGGGCCCGUGCCCGCCGAAGCGCUCUGUGAACCCUGAUGAAGAUGGGCUGUCUGAGUACUAUGAAAAUUGUCAAAACUUUUAACAACGGAUCUCUAGA